AUGAGAGACCCGUCUCUUCCAGCUCAGCCACCACUGUCCCGCUCUAAGAGAGACCCAUCUCUUCCAGCUCAGCCACCACUGUCCCGCUCUAAGAGAGACCCGUCUCUUCCAGCUCAGCCACCACUGUCCCGCUCUAAGAGAGACCCAUCUCUUCCAGCUCAGCCACCACUGUCCCGCUCUAAGAGAGACCCGUCUCUUCCAGCUCAGCCACCACUGUCCCGCUCUAAGAGAGACCCGUCUCUUCCAGCUCAGCCACCACUGUCCCGCUCUAAGAGAGACCCGUCUCUUCCAGCUCAGCCACCACUGUCCCGCUCUAAGAGAGACCCAUCUCUUCCAGCUCAGCCACCACUGUCCCGCUCUAAGAGAGACCCAUCUCUUCCAGCUCAGCCACCACUGUCCCGCUCUAAGAGAGACCCAUCUCUUCCAGCUCAGCCACCACUGUCCCGCUCUAAGAGAGACCCAUCUCUUCCAGCUCAGCCACCACUGUCCCGCUCUAAGAGAGACCCGUCUCUUCCAGCUCAGCCACCACUGUCCCGCUCUAAGAGAGACCCAUCUCUUCCAGCUCAGCCACCACUGUCCCGCUCUAAGAGAGACCCGUCUCUUCCAGCUCAGCCACCACUGUCCCGCUCUAAGAGAGACCCGUCUCUUCCAGCUCAGCCACCACUGUCCCGCUCUAAGAGAGACCCAUCUCUUCCAGCUCAGCCACCACUGUCCCGCUCUAAGAGAGACCCAUCUCUUCCAGCUCAGCCACCACUGUCCCGCUCUAAGAGAGACCCAUCUCUUCCAGCUCAGCCACCACUGUCCCGCUCUAAGAGAGACCCAUCUCUUCCAGCUCAGCCACCACUGUCCCGCUCUAAGAGAGACCCGUCUCUUCCAGCUCAGCCACCACUGUCCCGCUCUAAGAGAGAGACCCAUCUCUUCCAGCUCAGCCACCACUGUCCCGCUCUAAGAGAGACCCAUCUCUUCCAGCUCAGCCACCACUGUCCCGCUCUAAGAGAGACCCAUCUCUUCCAGCUCAGCCACCACUGUCCCGCUCUAAGAGAGACCCGUCUCUUCCAGCUCAGCCACCACUGUCCCGCUCUAAGAGAGAGACCCAUCUCUUCCAGCUCAGCCACCACUGUCCCGCUCUAA
rnacentral:lncRNA from 1 species